rnacentral:antisense_RNA from 1 species
CUUGAUCGACCCCAACCAGAGCGGACGGUCGGCGGGUCGGUCCUGCCCGUACGUGGCGAGCAGGGCCUGCGCCUC